UAAAAGUUUUCACUUUUAAUUCGACUGUAAAAUUUCUUUCAUUUUGUCGUUCUCGUGUAACCGUGUUCGCCUAAGUCCAAAAUGUAAACAAACGUUUUGGUGAUUCCGGUGAGUGGAGGUCCACAACGACUAUCAAAACCGAACGCGGCCGCUGCCAGGACUUGGACGCGGAAACCUUCGAAAGAGGAUGGUGCGGGCUCGGGUGCGGGUGCGGAACAAGGUUGGGAGAUUAGGGGAAAGUUGGUGUUCAAAAGGAUAAGGCCAUGGCUGCAGCUUCCAGCUGGACCUGCAGCUGUUUCACGACCGAAAUGGGACGCCGUUUAUGUGGUUGCCGAAGAUCGGAGAUCGGGAUGUGGAUUUGCACCGGUUGUAUUCGGUGGUAGUGUCCCGGGGUGGGUAGAAGUGAUUGACGUUGAAAAAGUUAAUUUUCACGGUGAGGAGAAGGAUCCGACGGAAGAGGGAAACGACGAGUAGCGGCAUAAUCGGUGGUGGUCAGCGCGGAUGUUGCACUCGUUGCCGGCGGUUUACGACCAUCAGCAGCAUUAUGUGCCAGAAGUGAUGACGGGACAGUGUGGGAUGUCCCGAGGGUCCGCAGUCCAUUUCUCGUUGCGGGACGAGUAUUACCUAAACAUCCGGAAGAACAGUUUGCACUAGUUCUGGAAGGACCGUCUGUACGAAAGCCGCAGGUCCUGGAGCUGUCGUACUCAGAUUACUUCCAGAGGUUGGAGCGAGAUCCGACGAACCUGAUCAAAAACAUCUACCUGGAAUACCGAAGAAGUUACAGCAACUCCCGCCCGCAAACGCUCCCGCCCGCAACGGCGCAGCUUCGGCCGGAUGAACUUUGACGGCGAGUUGGCAAUAUCUGUAUCAUUCUCGAAGGAGGACGUAGUGAUCGUGAACAAC